rnacentral:rRNA from 1 species
GAGACAGGUGGUGCAUGGUUGUCGUCAGCUCGUGUCGUGAGAUGUUGGUUAAGUCCCGCAACGAGCGCAACCUUGUGUUUAGUUGCAAACAGGUCAAGCUGUGCACUCUAGACAGACUGCCGUGGACAACACGGAGGAAGGUGGGGAUGACGUCAAAUCAUCAUGCCCCUUAUGAUCUGGGCUACACACGUGCUACAAUGGCCGGUACAACGGGCAGCGAAGGAGCGAUCCGGAGCGAAUCCUAAAAAGCCGGUCCCAGUUCGGAUUGCAGGCUGAAACUCGCCUACAUGAAGUUGGAGUUGCUAGUAAUCGCGAAUCAGAAUGUCGCGGUGAAUGCGUUCCCGGGUCUU